rnacentral:rRNA from 1 species
UACGUAGGGCGCGAGCGUUGUCCGGAAUCAUUGGGCGUAAAGAGCUCGUAGGCGGCCUGUCGCGUCUGCUGUGAAAUCCCGGGGCUCAACCCCGGGCGUGCAGUGGAUACGGGCUGGCUGGAGGCAGGCAGGGGAGAACGGAAUUCCCGGUGUAGCGGUGAAAUGCGCAGAUAUCGGGAGGAAGACCGGUGGCGAAGGCGGGUCGCUGGGCC